GCACUUAUGACUCCUUAUUAAAUGCUUAUGUCUACCUCCUCCCACAAGAAUGCAGACUUCAUGAAAGCAGGGCUGUGUGUCUUGUUCGCUUUUGUUUUCCCAAGACUUAACUGGUGCUCAGCACAAGUAGGUGUGCUCACAUUAGCUGUGCCAGACACUCUUCUCAGUGCCUUACAUGUGUUUUAUUUACUUUUUUAAUCCUCGCAAUUCAUUCAUUUACUCACUUAUACACUAAUCCCCCCCACCCAUAUGUCAGGCACUCUGGCAGGGGUAGGGAGUUCAAAGUGGAAUAAGGCUCCAUCCUGAUGCCCAGAGAAGGUACUGUACCACAGAGAGACUGACACAGGAGCAGGGAGCACACAGAACUGCGGUGGAUGGUGUGGGUCUAGAAAUGGACAGGGCGACCAAAGUGGGGAGUCGUCAGUUUGUGCAGGGCAGGUGCCAGGCAGGCAAAGGGGAAGACACUCCACACAGAGGAGAGUCCGAGAAGACAUGCUAGAAAUUCCUAACCUGCAAGUCACGGUUGCAAUGACCACAUAAAGUAUGGUCUCCACCAGCACACAUGUGAGAGUGAAAGGGAAAAGAGGAGUAAACUGGGUGGUCCCUGCACACCAAGCAUCCUAGCCAUGGACCUCUGGGGCCCUCUGAAUUACUUCAAGGGGUAGUACAUCAAAGGCACACAGUCAGCGUCUCCCCACUGAAUGUGUCAAGCAUAUGUCCUCAUAAUUUUUCAAAGGAAUGUAAAUGGUAUUAUGGUAAAUAAGUACACAUUUAUUUAACAUGGUUACUAAAUCUGCAAUAGCUAUUUCUCCAGUAUUAACGGGAUUCCCAAAAAUACAACGAACACACAAAAUACAAAUAUUCCACCAUCAACUGGAAAGGAGUCUUUGCAGUACAGAAACUGGGGACAUGUGUAGCCACUGGAGGAUUUUAAACAGAGGGAUCUGCACUUUGCAUGAGGUCCUCUGCGGUGGCUGGUCUGGAGGCAGAUGAAACAAGACCCCAGGUGGCCGUGACCCCAGCUAAGAGGCCACUGCAGGAGGAAGAAAUGAAGAGAGCUGGGGCCAAGCCACGUCAGUGGGGAGAGGAGGCGUAACAGAUCUGAGAUCGAUUCACUAGAUGCCAUGGACUGAAUGGGUGUGGAGAGAGAUGAGGAGAAGCCUAGGAUCCAGAGUGCAGACGGCGGCACAGAGCGGGAGGAAAGACAUUAAGGUGCUGGGCAAAAGAUGGCAUGCAAAGUUUAGGACAUGACAGAGGAAGAGAUGGAGCAACUUGAAGGAGGGUUCAAACUCUUAUUUUUCUGUGAUAGUUUAAGAAUAGCACUAGAUAUAGAAUGGGCAAAUAUAUUCACCAAAAGUAAUGAACGCUUGCUGGUGGUGGAGCCCCAAAUUGAGUAUCACAAUAACAAAAUUAUUACUAUUUUGAAAAGGUUAACUAUCUGGCAAAUAAUUCCAAAAAAUAUAUUCUCAUAGGACAUGCAUAUACAAAUUUAUCAAAUUUAAUUCUGUUUCCUUUAUGAUGUACAGAGGAAUAAUUUUAUUACAGAUCUCAAUUUAUCUAAAUAUUAGACUCAAUUAAAGGAGACUAUGUUAGGUAUAGGUUUGGAUUAGUCAAUUUACUUCAGGGAGAAAGGAGGAAAAAAACUGGGUAAGUUUAUUCACUGGCUCAGAAAUUUAAAGGAAUAUAUAUACACAUAUAUAUAUAUAAUUUGGUUGAUUAGUAUAUUAAGAAAAGGAAAGUCCAAAAUCACAAAACACCAUUGACAUUCUGCCUAUUUAAUAUGCAACUAGAUACUUCCUGAGGAUAGAGAAGAAGAGAGAAUAACAUAAAUUAUUUUACACUCUGUUCAAAGGUAACUGAAAAUGUAUGGACAAAAGCUAAAGACUACAAUCUUAUUUUUGCUAUAAAUAUUAUGUUAGACUAACUUUCAUAGUGAAACACUGGAUACAUUCUGAAAUUAAAUUGCUAAUGUCUGGGGCUACAGACAUGAACAAAAUAUAGAUCCGACGCUCAGUAAACUAUGUCAUAAUAGGUAACAUCCACAGGUUUAUGUACAUGCUUAUAUAUUAUAAAACAAAGCUUAUAUUGUACUUUUCAGGCAUUAAUACCCACUUAAUUUUCAAAAUUCUAUGCGGUAAGUACUAUUAUAAUUCCCAUUUUACACAUGAAGCAACUGAGGCAUUGAGAGGUUAAGUAAGUUGCCAAAGUCACACAGCUAAUAAUGAGCAGAGUUGGGAUUUGAACCAAGGCAUCCUGGCUCUGGAGUCUAUACGCUUCACCACCACCCAGGGCACCUCUCAUAUGUCAUAAAAGGCAGGAGAGUUCAGAAGAGGGGAGGCUUAUUUCCCACUAGUUGACCAGGGGGAAGGUGAUCUAUGCCCUAAAUCCUGAAGGGCAGGAUGUGGCUGUGGGGACGCAAGAGCAGACACUGAGAAAAGUCUGGCUCCUGGAAGAAUGCCAGGAAUAGGAAGCAAUGACAGAAGAACCACUUGGCAUCAGAGAGUCGAAAGAGACCAGUGACAUACUGAAAACCAACAGGAUAUUGCGGAAAAGGUACAAUCUACCAGAAGUGGAGAAACUAUUUUUAAUUAAAAUCAUUCAAGAGAUCCAGCCAGAGGCUACUGUGGUUGCAUGCUGUUCUGCUCUAGUAAAAUGACAUUAUUAAAAAAAAUUAAAUGGGUCAAUAAAGUCUGAGCUCUACAUUAUGGAAAAAAUUACAGCUUCCUAAUUAUGUCAACCUAACAUAGCCUUAUGGGUCUGAAGGCAAUCUUUCUGAACAUAUUCUUUCAAUUCCACCAUCAUAAUCCAUCCAAAAUGUCCCUAAGAGCAGGCCAAGACCAGCACAUUGCAUUGGGAAGCAGGAGCAGUAAGAAAGGCUUUAAACAGUCUACCACCUUCAGGAGGGGGAACUUGAUGGAAGAAGGUUAGGGCGGCCUUUCUCCAUCUGGAGAGAAUCUAAGGCAUUGAGGGGAAUGCUGAUUCCCUCCGUGAAUCAACUCCCCUGGUGUGACACCUAGCCACCUUCUCUCAGCCUCCUCCCUCCUUAUGGGUCCCAUGGGAGGAGGAGGGACUUCUCUGAUUGGUAACCAGGCAGAAGGAGCUGGGCACGAACGUGCACGCACAAGCAUCUAGCCACAGCUCCUUUCUCUCUCUCUUCUCUCUUUGGGAUCUCCCUGCUUAUCGACAGCAGAGGUUCUGCUCUGUUCGUCUCUCACAUGUGCUAUAAAGGGGCCUGCCCCUGCCAUCUGUGCUCCAGGGACUGUAAUUGUUCGGUGGCACUAAUGACUGAGUGGGUCUGUCUAAUUCAGGAACCUUCAGCAAGGCCAUCCACCUGCAGACCUAAGCUCUGCCUGCCACCUAGAUUUUACUAGUGACAAAGCUGGUAACACUUCCAUCUCUGUCAUGUUAACCUGAUUCCUACAUCCCAUCUCUCUCUCUCUUUCUCUCCCUCUCUCCCACCUCUCUCUGGCAGGAAAUAGAAGUGCAUUCUUUUUUAACUGACUCCCCCCCAACUGCAUCAUAGGUCAAAUAGGGAUCCAAUUCAAUUACCAUUCACCAAGGCACUUCUAUGUGCCAGGCAUUCACAAACAUCUCUCUCAUUUAAUCCUCAUAAGAACAUCACCCACAUUUUAUAAAAAAGAACACACAAAGAUGUGGAGUGAGCUGCAUAUACUCACAUGAUUAAUACCUUGCAGAACUGGGACUGGAAGUUAGAUGUGACUGACUGACCUCAAAGCCUAUGCUCUUUCAAAGGGAUCAAAACAUGGCAGGAGCGGAACUCAGAGUGCCUUAGUUGGCAAUGAACAGCUGCGACGGGGAAAAUGAGUAAAAGACUGAGUUUCUAUAAUGGGGUGAUGGAUCAGUCAAGACCAAGAAAACCUCAGGAGCUACAGUUCUAUGUGACGUUCAGACCACCCAACCAGUAAAUGGCAGAGCUGCGACUGGCCCCGGGGGAUCCCCGUCCUCAAUCCAUCGUAGCUGGGAAAGGGGAAGCUUUAGGCCAGCAGCCUGCUGUCCUGGGCAACACCAGAGAAAAGGACUGAGUGCGUCCGUGCUAUAGUGAGCUGGGAACGCUGACACACUGUGUGAGAGCUGAGCUUUGCUGUCUGAGGAGAAAUGCCUUAAUAUCACCAUCACAGUCAAAAGUUUAAAACUAUUGCCAACUUACAGAAUAGCACCCAGAUAUAAUAAACUUUUGAUAAAUCCAUUGCUUUUUUCUUUUUCCACUGCAUCUCAGUUAUACUGUCUUGUUUGAAUCUCCCAACUAGCUGUUGAGUGAUUAUCACUCUCAUUGUUUAGAGCAGGGUUCCACAAAACUUUUUCUGAAAAGGGCCAGAUAGUCAAUCUAUUAGACUUUGCAGGCCAUACACUCGGUCACAACCACACAACUCUGCUGUUUAGUGCAAAAGCAGCCACAGAUAAUAUGUAAACAAAUGGAUGUGGCAGUGUCCCAAUAAACUUCUUUAUAGACACUGAAAUUUGAAGGUCAUAUACUUUUCAUAGGCGAUAAAAUAUUAUUAUCAUUUUUCCCCCAAGCAUUUAAAAAUGUAAAACCAUUCUCAGCUCACAGGCUGUACAAACACAGGCGGAAGGCCGGACUUGGCCUGCAGGCCGUAGUCUGCUGACCCCUGGUUUAGAGGAAGACAAUGGGUUUUACAGAUUAAAUGACUUUCUCAGGUUCAUGUGGCUAACAAGGGGGCGAGGUGGCUUGAACUAAACCAACAUUUAAAGCAUUCGCUUAGUUGGAUGCCUUUGCAAGGCCAAGGGAAGCCAAUGACGGGUUUCCAUGAAAGACCUCUGUAACCACAUCUUUAAGCUUAGUUGUCAGGUACUAAGAAAGGAGGUGGAAAUUGAUAAGUUUAUACCAGUUUUGUUAAGUUUUCCAAAAUGAUUCUAGCUCCAUUUUUAUGAACUAUGAUAUUAGUGUUUGAUAUACAUACACACCUUUAGAAAUAAAAUUUACACUGCCAUCUAGUGUUGACCAGCUAUUUUAAAUGAGAACUUACAAAUAAGGUCUUCUCGGUACUAU